rnacentral:rRNA from 1 species
AAGAUGAGAUUUCCCAUCACUUCAAGUGAGUAAGACCCCUGAGAGAUGAUCAGGUAGAUAGGUUGGGAGUGGAAGUACAGCGAUGUAUGGAGCGGACCAAUACUAAUCGGUCGAGGACUUAACCAAU